AUUCGUAUGGUACAAUCAACUCCCGACACGUCGGAAGAAUUUUUCCCAUAUAAAAGCAGUUUACAACCCAUAGGGCUUUCAUCCUGCACGCGGCAUGGCUGGGUCAGACUUGCGUCCAUUGCCCAAUAUUCCU
rnacentral:rRNA from 1 species